UCCAGUCCUACUUAUGUCGGAUGUGGUCUUAUUUGCCCUCACAUAGUCAACUGCUCAGUACUUCUUGGGGCUAUCAUAUCAUGGGGUUUCCUUUGGCCUCUCAUAUCCAAACAUGCUGGGCACUGGUAUCCAGCUGACCUUGGUAGCAAUGAUUUCAAAGGUCUUUAUGGAUAUAAGGUAUUGUGGAAUCAUUUUUGUUGGAGGCAACAAGGUGGUCAUUAUAGCAAUAAUCUUGAUUAUAGUUGAGGUUUGGCUCAAUCCGUAAUGUUUGUUUACAUGUCUUCGUAGCUAUUGCCCUUAUUUUGGGGGAUGGUCCAUACAAUUUGAUCAAGAUUAUAGCCAUUACUAUCAAGGAAAUAUGCAAUAAAAGUAGUAAACAGAGCAAUCUUCCUUUGGUUAAAGAAAAGUUGGAUGGUGAGAGUUCUGAAGUAACCCUGGAACAAAAAAAGAGGGAUGAGGUAUUUCUCAAGGAUAGAAUACCUCGAGGUGUGCAUUGAAGUGGCUGAUUAUAUACAGAGUUUGGUGUAAGACUUUUGGCUUCCAUGAUUUUGAGUAAGGCUAGUUUUUGCUUUGAAGCAAAGUUUGGUGUAGAACGUACUUUUGUAGUUGGUUGCUAAUAUGUUUCUAAGCUAGCCUUUGUAGGUUUUGGGUUUUAUUUUGUGAAUUAUGUUGAAUCAUGAAUUUGGAAAGAAAAUUAAUGGAAAGCUCCAAUUUUUGGGUGAUGAGAAAUG